CCACCUUUGACAUGUACGGAAUUCGCCAGAGAUGGCUUAGUGCUCGAAAGAGAACCGUAACACAGGUGCUGCAUGGCUGUCGUCAGCUCGUGUCGUGAGAUGUUGGGUUAAGUCCCGCAACGAGCGCAACCCUUGUCAUUAGUUGCUACGCAAGAGCACUCUAAUGAGACUGCCGGUGACAAACCGGAGGAAGGUGGGGAUGACGUCAAGUCCUCAUGGCCCUUAUGGGUAGGGCUACACACGUCAUACAAUGGUACAUACAGAGGGCCGCCAACCCGCGAGGGGGAGCUAAUCCCAGAAAGUGUAUCGUAGUCCGGAUUGUAGUCUGCAACUCGACUACAUGAAGUUGGAAUCGCUAGUAAUCGCGAAUCAGAAUGUCGCGGUGAAUACGUUCCC
rnacentral:rRNA from 1 species